rnacentral:snRNA from 1 species
AUACUUACCUGGACGGGGUCGACGGCCGAUCAAGAAGGGCCGUGGCCUAGAUCAAUGGCUCACAUUGCACUUGGUGAGCGCGUUGGUUUACCAUCUCCCCAAGUGGGAGAGUGGACGUCAUAAUUUGUGGUAGAGGGGGUACGCGUUCGCGCGGCCCCUG